rnacentral:rRNA from 1 species
CACGUAGGGGGCAAGCGUUGUCCGGAUUUAUUGGGCGUAAAGAGCUCGUAGGCGGCUCAGUAAGUCAGGUGUGAAACCUCCAGGCUCAACCUGGAGACGCCACCUGAUACUGCUGUGGCUAGAGUCCGGUAGGGGGAGCGUGGAAUUCCUGGUGUAGCGGUGAAAUGCGCAGAUAUCAGGAGGAACACCAGCGGCGAAGGCGGCGCUCUGGGCCGGAACUGACGCUGAGGAGCGAAAGCGUGGGUAGCAAACAGG